rnacentral:lncRNA from 1 species
CAAACGUCUCGAGAUAAGGAUAAAUGUCGAAACGCGAAACCCAUCGGCGUAGGAUACCGGUUUCAGUCCUGAAAGGCACUCGGAGGAUCUGACUGUAUUUGGUGCCGAUGAUGGACUCCCUCUCUUGGUUGCACUUAGUUCCUCGGGCAUCAGGUAUGAGUCUUGUGACCUAUUAUGCUCAAAUAUUACCAUUCAUCAAGCACCAUUCAGGCUAGAAACUAACUGUAAAUUGCUACUAUAGGGGAGAAAUUUGUAUUCACCACUAAGAUUUGAGGCUUAAUAUUGAGGCCUUGGGAUUUGAUUUUGAGAACCAAUUCUUCCUCCAUGGCCCUCACUUGGUCCAAAAUAUAAACAACCUGUCCACCAGUGUCUGGCAAACCGAGCACAUUUGAUUGUCCAAAAUAUCCAUGAGGAGAGAAGAUUACAACCUUGAAUAUGGUGGGAAGUUUGCUAAAAAGCUUUUCCAAAUUCUGUGGAUCAGGUGCUUGCAACACUUCCGAGAGUGACCGUAUCGUUUCAUGCACUCUUUCAACCGUAUCACCCCACCCUCUCUCGAAUCCCCACUCCUUGAACCUGCAACAAAAUUUUAUACACAUAUACUAAGCAAUCAUCAAGCAUGAUGGAACCAUAUCUUUUUCUAUUCUGUUUUUACCUUAGCUCAAUACUCUGGUAUGGGGUAUCCCUAGGAAGAUCUGAGAGGGAAACUUCAGCUACUAUAAGAGCCAAUUGAAGCUUUGCUGCUGUGUUAAGUGUCUCGUUUAUCAUAAGUUUCUGCAGGUUGAGAAAACAACCAUUAAUUUGCAUUUUAUCGUACAUAUAUGUACAUAUGCAUAUAUAUAGAUAUACCUCUCCUUGAUAUUCGAGUGAGAGUAAGUAAUCUACAAGGGGCUGGGCAUUAUCCACAGAUCCACUUAGCUUAGAAGUGAUGUACUUUGACACAAAAUUAAGUCCUUUUCCAAUAGAAGAAGCCAAUGUUAAUUUUGGCAUCGAGAAAUCAAAUGCUUCAAAAUCCAC